CCUGAUAAUCAAAUGAUUUUCUAAUAAUUUUAAAUCUCGGUACACAAUGAAAAUUUAACUGAACAAUACUAUUCGAUAGAAAAGUUAUUAUAUAUCUAAAUGUUUAAAAUAACUUUUAGUGGCGUAUGUCUUAUUAUGUAUAUGUGUAUAUAAUACAUUUAUACAUUAAAUACAUAACUUCAUAUAAUCAUCAAAAUUAUUCUUUAGCAGUAAGACCGUUAGGUUUAAAUUUUAAUAACUGUCACUUGUAUGCAGUCCUCUCUUGUGCUUUCAGCAAAAAUAAGAACUCUAAAAUGAUGUGGUAUGCAAGAUAAAUCCGCGAUUAUCACGAUAAUCAGAGAGACGAUGACGGCGAGAUUACAAUAUGGCAAUUCAUCAUCUGUCAAUCCUUGUUACUGGCCUUGUAAAAACAACGGGGUCAGCAUGAAGAAAUCGAAGAGAGAAAGAUUUGUCAGCCCCGCAGCGAUGAUUAACGCGAUUAAUCGCGCAAGCGAGGAGGAAAAGGCAUUCCAGCUGUGUGCAAUCGGAUGCACUUUACUCCCCCGAUGCUAUUGACACUGUCGAGAGGAAAAUUUCCUUCCUCCGACACAGAUUCCGGAUCAGUGACGGCGCGCGAUCGCGAACUACAGGACAUUCUGUAACCGGUAAAAACCGAUCUGACGACGUAAGCAGUUACGCUCGAUCGAAAUUUAAUAAUUCAGCAGUUUCACAUAUCUCUUCAGUUGCAUGCUACCCAAUAUAAAAAUGUACAACGACAAGGUUCGGAAUAUAUCAACUACAAAGUUCGAUAUAUUCCGAACAUGAAAUUUAAUUUAAUAAGUGUUUAAAAAAUAUGUAUUUAUUUAUGUACAGCGUUCAAUUGUUGCAGGUCAUCUGCUGC